rnacentral:rRNA from 1 species
GACGAACGCUGGCGGCACGCUUAACACAUGCAAGUCGAGCGCCCCGCAAGGGGAGCGGCAGACGGGUGCGUAACGCGUGGGAAUCUACCGUGCGCUAAGGAAUAGCACCGGGAAAAUGGAAUUAAUGACUUAUACGCCCCUCGGGGGAAAGAUUUAUCGGGGUAUGAUGAGCGCGCGGUGGAGUAGCUAGUUGGUGGGGUAAAGGCCUACCAAGGCGACGAUCCAGAGCUGGUCUGAGAGGAUGAUCAGCCACAUUGAGACUGAGACCCGGCCCGAACUCCUACGGGAGGCAGCAGUGGAGAAUAUUGGACAAUGGGCGCAAGCCUGAUCCAGCCAUGCCGCGUGAGUGAUGAAGGCCCUAGGGUUGUAAAGCUCUUUCACCGGUGGAGAUAAUGACGGUAACCGGAGAAGAAGCCCCGGCUAACUUCGUGCCAGCCGCCGCAGUAAGAC